rnacentral:lncRNA from 1 species
CAUAACAAUAGGUCAUGAUCCCCAAAAAAGACCAAAGGAUUGACGAAAAGGAAUUCAUUUAAAGAAGAGUCAAUAUAAUUGUUAAAUUUCAAAAUGAAAAAAAAUUAAAAUGUAUAGACAUAACAAAUUUCAAAAUCUAAAUCAUAGAUCGUACAAAUUGUUUAAGGGAUAUCAGGAUAUUGUUUUUUCCUCAAUCCUCGACCCAGCCUAUUUUGUAACAAGGAUAAACUUCUUCUCGUUUAGAUAUCUUAUACGAUCUUUCGAUUUUUAUUUGUUUGGUAAAAUAUUCCAUUGUAUUCACUGUAAACAAAACCAACUCUGAUACUAC